rnacentral:rRNA from 1 species
AGAGUUUGAUCAUGGCUCAGGACGAACGCUGGCGGCGUGCUUAACACAUGCAAGUGGAGCGACGAACCAGGGCUUGCCCUGGGGCAGAGCCGCGAACGGGUGAGUAACACGUGGGUUACCUGCCUCGAUGACCGGGACAACCCGUCGAAAGACGGGCUAAUACCGGAUGUGCCCGCAAGGGGAAAGGAAGCUUCGGCCUC